CUGAUUGCUUCCUCAGAGGAAACUUCAUUUCUUCUCAGAGAGGUGUGAGUAUUUGGUCUGUGCUGGGAUUCUUGGGGGCUCCAGGAGCUGCCAGAGAAAUGAGCCAACAAUCCAACAAGAGCUGAAGGGAGAAGUGGAAACUAGGAACUGCCUUGCAUGUCAAAGAGGUGAUGGGACCCUCUUGAAGAUCUAGGGAGCUGAAUAAAAGGCAUCCUCCAAAGGAAAAGGAGCAGAAAAAGGUGCUGACAUCAGGGCACAGAAUUGAUCUUCAAACAGUAGUUUCACCUGCAAAGCUCCAAGCACUCUGAGGAUGGUCAAGAGAGACAAACUCCUCCAUCUGGAUUUCUGGAGGAUCAGUGGCAACAGUUGGAUAAUCAUUUCCUCACUUACUACACUUAUGAAGGAAGACCUGGGCUUCUCAGGGAAGAACCAGGAUCCCAGUGGCCAAGUGCUGUGAACAGGCAGCACAAAGACAGAGCUCUAACCCCAGAGCUCAUUUGUUAAUUCCAAGUGUCACAUCUCAUUCCUUUCCACUUGGGCUGGAAU